UACGUAGGGUGCAAGCGUUACUCGGAAUUACUGGGCGUAAAGCGUGCGCAGGCGGUGAUGUAAGACAGGUGUGAAAUCCCCGGGCUUAACCUGGGAACUGCAUUUGUGACUGCAUCGCUGGAGUGCGGUAGAGGGGGAUGGAAUUCCGCGUGUAGCAGUGAAAUGCGUAGAUAUGCGGAGGAACACCGAUGGCGAAGGCAAUCCCCUGGGCCUGCACUGACGCUCAUGCACGAAAGCGUGGGGAGCAAACAGG
rnacentral:rRNA from 1 species